GUUUGAUCAUGGCUCAGGACGAACGCUGGCGGCGUGCCUAAUACAUGCAAGUCGGACGGUUUAGAGUGAGAGGCUUGCCUCUCGCUUUUAGACAGUGGCGGACGGGUGAGUAACACGUAGGCAACCUGCCCGUAAUACCGGGAUAACCUGGGGAAACCGAGGCUAAGCCCGGAUAGGCUCCUUUACCGCAUGGGAGAGGAGGGAAAGGGUGCGACCCGAUUACGGAGGGCUGCGGCGCAUUAGCUAGUUGGUGAGGUAACGGCCCACCAAGGCGAUGAUGCGUAGCCGACCUGAGAGGGUGACCGGCCACACUGGGACUGAGAGACGGCCCAGACUCCUACGGGAGGCAGCAGUAGGGAAUCUUCGGCAAUGGGCGAAAGCCUGACCGAGCAACGCCGCGUGAGUGAGGAAGGCCUUCGGGUUGUAAUGCUCUGUUGAUUGGGAAGAAGGGAAAGGGUAGCCCUUAGGUGACGGUACCAAACGAGAAAGCCCCGGCUAACUACGUGCCAGCAGCCGCGGUAAUACGUAGGGGGCGAGCGUUGUCCGGAAUGAUUGGGCGUAAAGCGCGCGCAGGCGGUCCUUUAAGUCUGAUGUGAAUUACCGCGGCUUAACCGCGGAAGGUCAUUGGAAACUGGGGGACUUGAGGCUAGGAGAGGCAAGUGGAAUUCCUGGUGUAGCGGUGAAAUGCGCUCAGAUCAGGAGGAAUACCGAUGGCGAAGGCAGCUUUCUGGCCUAGAACUGACGCAGAGGCGCGAAUAUGUGGGGAGCAAACAGGAUUAGAUACCCUGGUAGUCCACGCCGUAAACGAUGAGUGCUAGGCCUGAGGGGUUUCAAGGCCCUUCGUGCCGCAGUACACACAAUAAGCACUCCGCCUGGGGAGUACGGUCGCAAGACUGAAACUCAAAGGAAUUGACGGAUGCCCGCACAAGCGGUGGAGCAUGUGGUUUAAUUCGAAGCAACGUAAAGAACCUUACCAGGGCUUGACAUCCCUCUGACGGGAGUAGAGAUACUUCGUCCCUUCGGGGCAGAGGAGACAGGUGGUGGUUGUCGUCAGCUCGUGUCGUGAGAUGUUGGGUUAAGUCCCGCAACGAGCGCAACCCUUGAGCUUAGUUGUCAGCAUUCAGUUGGGCACUCGGCUGACUGCCGCAGACGAUGCGGAGGAAGGUGGGGAUGACGUCAAAUCAUCAUGCCCCUUAUGUCCUGGGCUACACACGUGCUACAAUGGCCGGUACAGAGGGAGGCGAAGGAGCGAUCCGGAGCGGAUCCCAAAAAGCCGGUCGUAGUUCGGAUUGCAGGCUGCAACUCGCCUGCAUGAAGUCGGAAUCGCUAGUAAUCGCGGAUCAGCAUGCCGCGGUGAAUCCGUUCCCGGGCCUUGUACACACCGCCCGUCACACCAUGAGUGGGUUCUGCCAGAAGUAGGUAGCCUAACCGCGAGGAGGGCGCUUACCACGGCAGGGUUCAUACCUGGGGUGAAGUCGUACGAAGGUGUGG
rnacentral:rRNA from 1 species